UACAGAGGGGGCAAGCGUUGUUCGGAAUUACUGGGCGUAAAGGGCGCGUAGGCGGCCUGCUAAGUCGAACGUGAAAUCCCCGGGCUCAACCCGGGAACUGCGUCCGAUACUGGCAGGCUUGAAUUCGGGAGAGGGAUGUGGAAUUCCAGGUGUAGCGGUGAAAUGCGUAGAUAUCAGGAGGAACACCGAUGGCGAAGGCAGGUCUCUGGGCAUUAACUGACGCUGAGGAGCGAAAGCAUGGGGAGCGAACAGG
rnacentral:rRNA from 1 species